CAUCUCUUCUUGGCUUAUAGUACUGCCUUCUUACUGUGUUUUCAUGUAGUUUUUUUCUCUGUGCAUGCACUCUUGGGGUCUCUUUCUCCUUUUUAUAAGGACAUAAAUCCUGUUGUUGAUAAGGGCCACACCCUUAUGACUUUAUGUAACCUUCAUUACCUCCUUGAAGGUACUAUCUUCAGAUACAGUCACAUUGGGAGGGAGGAGUUCAACAUAAGAAAUUGCAGGGGUCACAAUUCAGUUCAUAACAGAGCUGUAUUAACUGGAGUAUUUGGGUUUUAGAACACAUGCAGAAUUCAGUCUAAAUGCUUAAUGCAUAGCCUGCGAGGAUUCCAUAAAACUAAAUCUAGAUUUUAAAUCUAAUGUUUUAGAAGUAAGCCUAAAGCAAAGAAGAAAGAAUAAUGUUCAUUACCCAGGGAAAAGAAGAGGUUCCUUAGAAGAUGGUACAGGGUGCGAGGGAGAUGGUACAGUUGUGCAGCUGUAUUUCUACGUGCAGACAAGAACCAGGAAUUUCCGAGGACGUGGGGGUUCAGGCUGCCAGGACGGAUGUGAAUGUGUGUGACCAGCAAGGAGCUUCUGAGGUCUGAAGACUGGGAAGGUCAAGGGUCAAUUCCUCCUAAGCCCCAAAGAGGGAGUCAUCUCCUCUUGGGGCCUUUCCCGUGAGUUCUCCUCCAACCUCUUGAAAACAUGAUCCCCGUUUUACCUCGGCCACAAGGUGAUUUGCUGCCGGGAGUGUUUUUAGUGACUCUACUCCAUCCCCAGGGCCACAUCAACGCAACGUCCAAAAAGGCAAGCAUUUGGAACUCUGAAACCCCUGGAGACAAAAAUAGGACUCUGUGAUGAUGUGGUUUAUGGAGUCUCAUUUUUAAAAAUCAGACACACUUACCACGAAAGAUGCUGUGGAAAAAUAAUUGGAUUUACCCCAACUCCUCUGCUAUUUAUUGCCUUGGAUGGCACUAAGGUUAUAUCAGAACACAGUCAUGAGGGGAAGAGGCUUUGGAACAGCUAAAACACAUUUUCCCCAACAAGUAAAUCUGUAGUUAACCCUUUAUACAGUGUGAGCCAUGCGACUCUUGCACAGUGUUUGUAUGCAAAAUACUGAGACAAGGUUAACAAAUGUAAGGUAUUUUAUGCCCUGAAUUGAGGCUAUGGUCAUGUUGUAUAGACAGCAGGGUCUCUAACAGCCAAGCCCUACCUUCUGGUGGACUUCAAGUCUUAAGACCCAGACCUUUCUCUCCCUCCAAUAGCUAAGGGCCCACCCAGCAUGAGGGGAACGGUUUGUCUUCCUUUUGUCCUCUGCUCUCUGCAGGACGCCACCCCAGAGCGGUACGGUGCACAUGCCUGUUUGACAGUGACUGGCUUUACUGUGGACUUGGGUUGCAGGACCUCCAUAUUUGCAGCUCCGAAGCCACCGUAUCAAAUCCAUGACAGCUUGUGGGAGAAGCUAAUAAAGCUCCUCGAAAAUUAAAACAGUUGACUGCAGUGGGACAAAACCUAGCGGCUAUUUGACAGGCAAGAUUUUGCAAUUAGAACUUCUGUUCCAGGGGCGCCUGGGUGGCACAGUGGUUAAGCGUCUGCCUUCGGCUCAGGGCGUGAUCCCGGCGUUAUGGGAUCAAGCCCCACAUCAGGCUCCUCUGCUAUGAGCCUGCUUCUUCCUCUCCCACUUCCCCUGCUUGUGUUCCCUCUCUCACUGGCUGUCUCUAUCUCUGUCAAAUAAACAAAUAAAAAAUCUUAAAAAAAAAAAAGAACUUCUGUUCCAGCUGACCAGAGGUGGACACCUGGCCAUCACCUUCCAAAGGGGUUCUGAGGAGUUCGUAGAGCUCCCAGGACCAGUGGAUCACGGCUCAGUCAAUGAUAUCAGAUGUGAAGUCACUCUUCCUGCCAUGAAUCCAUCUGUAGUUAAACAAGAUAGGCUGACGGUGCCAAUGAUUUGCUCAAUUUUGCACAGCCAUGUUUAAGGAGGCAACAAGAAAUCUGCUUUCAGAUCUCUGGGGAACUUUCAAAUCAAAGACAGCAGAGAUCAAAAGUCCUUGGAAAAGCCAUCUGGGAACUUUUGCGCGCUGACAAGUUUGCUCUUGAAGCUCACACACCACACUUGCAAGAUGACAAACAGAUACCACAGACUUCUGGGAAAAUUCUGCACCACGCUAUGCCCCGAUGAAAAGCUCCAUGCUCUCUAAGGUCAUAUAUCACCCACUGAUGCAAUACUUGCCCCAAUCCCCCAACCACAAGGUCACUGGUUUUCAUGGGAAAGAGAGAUGACACCUCUCUGAUAUUGGCUUAGUGAUGCGCUGGUUAGUAAAGAGGUAAACAGUGCAACAAUUGUAGAAAGAGCCACCAUUUGUUAAGUACCUUGCAUGUAUGAUUUUGCUGAACUUUUAGCACACACUAUGCAAUCGGCCCUAAUAAUUCUAUGAGGAAGGUGUUAGUUUCUCCACCUUAUAGACAAGACGCACCUUGUCCCGAGAUAUAAAGCUUUGAAGAAACCUAGCCCAGGUUUGUAGUCAGGUAGGUCCGGCAGGCUCACAGUAUUGCCCUCAAGAAAAUCUGAUGAUGUUAGAGAAAUGUCAUUUCUCAUCUCCGAAAGCUAAAUCUGUUGUAUGUUUUUAAUGUCCUUUUCAGCAGCAGUGAAACACUUCUACCCCUCUGUUACAUCCUAGUCAGAGCUCACGUUCUGUGUAAAGACAUCCGCGCCUUUUCUAGGCUCGCGUACAUGUCCUUUUCUCAACACCCUCAAGACAUUUCAUACAGAACUUCAGGGCUGCAGUGAUCUUAUCGGAAUUGUCAUUGUUUGUAUAUUUGUCUGCCUCCAGUUGAAAACUAAGAAUUUCUUGGGGCAAGAUCCGUGUCUCCAUAGGUUUUGAUCCUAGGACUGACACAGCGUUUGGCUCCAUGACUAUAGCUGAUGGAUGGACCAACGGGCCACCGUUUGCUCAGAUCCCUAAGAAGGAUCAUCUAUUCAACAGUGCCAAAAGUAUUAGACUGAACCAUUUGGAAUUGCAAUUUUUCUAGGUCAGAAAGAGUCAACAGUGGGUGCUUCCGUGGAUUUCAAUCUGAUAAAUCUAUUACAGUGGGUGUGGCUAUUCAGAAACGUGGUGGGUUUUCAAAUUUGAUGUAUUAAAAUUCACAUGUCUAAGUGAAUGCUUUGUAAACAUGCUGCCACACUUUAUUGAGAAUUUCCUUUAUUUUUGUAGUUCUGAAAUAUUCGGUCCUGCAUUUUUACCCCAAAUCAGCUGGUCCUUGGAAGUCCUUUCAUUACACAAGGUGUUUGUCACAAGAUAUUUGGUAUGCUUGGAAAGGCAGUGUCAUAUAAUGGUUGAGAACAAAUUUCUAGGUGUCAUUUUAGGCCAGUUAACUUCUCUACUCCUUCCACACCUGCAAGAGCAGGAUCACCGUAGUGUCCGUCUCACAAGGUUGUUGUUCCUACAUGAGGUAAUGCACACUGCUUAGAACAAUGUCUGGGACAUACUCAGAGCUCACUGUUUGCUGUUAUUAUUACUACAGAAUUUGGUCUGUGUGGAAGGCACGCAUGUUGGAAUAGCAACAGACUGCAUGAGUAGCCAGGAAGAAAAAAUUAAGUAAAUGAGUAAAGUGAUCACAAACAACACGGACUAUACAUUUACCCAGAUAUUUCCCUGAUGGAGUACAGAAAUCAGGAAAUUUUAAUUAUAGAAACUGAAGUGUCUUAAGAGUGCACGAUUUUUGCAGUUUUCUGGGUGCCUACAGCCUGUCAUUUAGUCCUCCAUGUGGCAUCCCAGCACUCAGAUUCCUGCUGGUGUCCUUUACAACACCAUGACUCCCAUUGUACAAAUCCAAGUCCAGCUGUGGUAUUUGAAAAUAAUCAAACUGGCGUCACCAAAUCACUUCUUCCUUUCUUUUCCCUCAAAGUUUCUUUCUUUCAAACAGUUUUGAAAUUCCAUUACUAAAUUUCCU